CUGUUUCUCUAGAAUUGUAAAAAUAAGGAGGAAGAGGGUGAAAUGCAUUGUAAGGUUCCUUGGCAUCUGAGGAUAAAAUUCUGCUAUCACAACAGAAGGAUUUUUUAUAAUGGCCAAGAAAAAAAAUAUUUUGAAUAUGGAAGAAAGUAUGUAAAAGGUCUCAGGCUUUGUACUUCUUGGUUCAGGGGUAUUUGAAGAGCUGAAAGCAGAAACUGCUUGAAACAACUUCUCUUUCUGGCCCUUCUGAAAGUCUUGAGAAUACUAAGCAAGUGUGUCCCCUGACAAGGAAGAAACUGGAGAAGAGUAGGCCAAAGAAUGUCAGACAGAUGGCAAGAAUUGAGGUUGCUGUAGACCCGUGUGGAUUCGCCACCAGUAACAAAACCAUAAUUACACAGGGAGGGUUUCUUCCAUCAGGCUGGUGGCAUGCUCCUUCUACAGCAGAAUAUGCUGCGGCUUUUUUCUUAUUCUUUUGGCCUUCAGAAGAAAGAGUGCUGCAUGCCAGUGUCUUCAAGUGGAUACUUCUGAGGCCCUUCAGAAAGAGCAAGAAUGGAUCCAGAGAGCUGCUUGGCCUCAGGAUACUCCUUUGGUUCAUCUAUAUUCACCAGGGACAUUCCAGUGUUGUCGUUUUUAAACGGUCGCUUAGCAGAAAAACAUUUACUGAACAAUGGAAUAAGAGGGAAAAGAGAAAUCCAUGUGACUCUUGACUGCUGAGAACUGAGCAUCAGAUUUCAGAUAAGCACUUUCAGUGCUUGAGCAUAUAAAAUGUUAUAGCAGUGACUAUAAGAUUGCUUACAUAUAUGUGUACCAUAUAGUAGUUCCUCAUCAUUUUGCCAGGAAGAUAAGAAGGGGAAUACUAAAAGUAUCAGAAUAUUGGCCUUUUCCUAGCAGCUUGAAGGAGCAGCUUGUUCCAGAGUGAUGGCGAUUGAGAAAUGCCUAUGACAUCAUCUUGUUCUCUUAGGAUCCAAUGGGAGUUCAUGAUGACUCAGCCACAGCUAGCACAGAGCACACGGCACAUUCACUCCAUAUUCGCUCAAUUUAAUUUCUCCAAUGAAAAGCAAAUGUGUUUAUUAUUUAUAGGAACAACCUCCAUCCAAAAAAAAGAGCAGUUAUUGUCUGAAUAAAAGGAUGCUCCAAGUUGUGAAGUUUCCCGGCUAUUUUGUGCUUCUAAGACCACCAAGAUUAAUAUGAAAACCCUUUGGAAAGAUUUCAGGAGUAAAGAGAAACUGAAAGUUAAAGUGUGAGAAGUGAAUUAAAGUUCAACCUGGAAAGAAGACAUAACAUCUUUGACAAGAUAAUAUAAGCCAAUAGGAAAAUGACUCAAUUUAUACGUAACCUUUCAGGAACACGUUUAUUUUAGCACAGGAAGCACACCUGUACGUGCAGACUAGCACCGACUCAAUCUUGUCAGAAGAAUAGAGUGUUCUUUUACUAAUAGGAGCUACUUCAUUAUUUCCACAAAGAUGAACACAGUCAAUGACCCAAAAGUUAGAUGUAUAGAUGGUCCACUUAAGAUUUGAGAAUUGUGAGGAAAAUAUGCCAUCACCCUAAAUAAGCUACUCAGUGACAUCUAAUCUUGAAGGAAGACAAGAUGUUUCCUGACACUUGUUUAUUGCUGUUCUGAUACACUGGGCAAAUUAUUUGCUCUCCAAGAAACAGAAACCUAUCCCUCUAAUGCUAUUACCAUAAUACUCUAGACAAAUACAUGCAAUUUCAUGUCAUUUUAUCUAGGCAUAUCAACUGGAUUUUAUGCUGUCAUUUUUCCCAGGCAAAGCUGAUAUCAUUACCACAUGACUUCAGCCAGCAAACAGUUCUGCUGUUAUCUCAUAUCCUCAUAGAAUCCUUUCCCCCAGAUGUUAGUUUCAUUCAAAUGCAUUCCAUAUGAACAACAUUCGAAGGAACAGUUUUCUAAUCUCCCAUCCCCCAUUCUCCCUUCCGAAAAUCAUCCUUACAAGAGAAAUUUAGGGUUUUUCUGGCAAGAACUUAAAGAUAUCCAGUUUAAGUGCUUAAUUCUAGGAUGUGGAGUGGAGCAGAGCACUUGAGCUGUGAAAGAGCUGCGUGUUUUUAUUGUAGGCCCCUCUCUGCUACACUCUUCACACUUGAUUAUGCAUCAAACCUAAAAUUCCAUUUCUCAGCACAACUGCAGUCCCCAACAAAAGCUCAGUGAGGGAUCCAUUUCUUUUUCCUCUACAUGUACCCUUGGCUCCUAUUAAUUUUAAUGUAACUUACAUGAUAGUAACAAUAUUCAUAAAUUCAAAAGAUAACCACUGCCACUUUUGGAGCUUUUCCAUUUAAUAACAUUAAUUUCAUACCAAGUAUGGUUAUUUGGGCAAAAGAAAAAAUUCUUUCUGUAACUUUCCUCCUAGACAGACAAGCGAGAAUAUAUUGUAUUAUAAUUGUAAUUUCAAUCAUUUUGAAGCCCA
rnacentral:lncRNA from 1 species